UUGAAAUGGAGGUAGUAUAUUGUUUAGAAAUACCAUAGAAGACAAAGCUGUGGCAGCCAAAAGGGUAGCAAAAAAAAAAAAAAUCGAAUAUUGACUUCCUUGAUAACUUCCGGCUGGAGGGCAAGGCUUGUCAACUUUACAAUGAUGCCGUAAAAGCAGAAUGUCGGAAGAAUGUAAGAAAAACCUCUGUUUUUUGUUUUUUUGGUUUUCGUUUUGUUUUAAGCAUCAAUUUGUUAAUGAGUUUCAUUCUUAUAUUAAUAUUCAUCAAAGACUGGGAAGUCCAAUGGUAGGCACUAUGUUGUGGACCUCAAAACUGCUGAAGAUAGAUAUAUGUAUCUUGCUGAGGCCACAGUAAAGGAGCUGGAGGAACGUGUUGAGGGUGUGAAAAAGUUGAAGGCGUGGUUCUAGACUACAUUAGACAAACAAUGUAAUGAACUGUAACUGUUUUUUUUUUUUUUUUUUUUUUUUUUUUUCAAAGUUUAUGGCAAACUAUGACAUAAUUGUUAUCCUUGGGUCUUAAAACCCUCUUUUGCUCUAGUUUGAAAGUUAGAAAAGGUAAUUCUAUCUUUUAUGAUUUCUGAAGACAUGUAGGGUUUGAUUAAUAAUGGGAUUUGCUAAUGAUUUUGCUUAAUGAGUAUGUAUCUUUUUGGUUUCAAACAUUAGAUUGCCAUUACUUGUAAACAUACUGACAACGAUUCUCAAACAUUAGAUUGCCAUUUCAUAUAUUUGUGGAUAAACAUACUAACAAUGAUUCCCUAACUCGAUAAAUUUAAUGUUUACUUCUUCUAGUCGGCACCAACAUAGUUUUCACUUGUCUUAGUUUUCACUUGUCUAUACAGGAUGUCUGCUCUGAGUCACUUGAGGUAAUGAGAGUCCAUCAAAUUUUCUUUCUGCAUAUUGCUUUUCCACUAGUUCUAAUUCUUCCUAUGCCCUUCUGCAGUCAUGGUUCUGAAGAUAUUGCUGAGCAAACCAUUCUACCCCAUGCUCUUUAAAGCUUGAUCCAUAUUGUUACAUAGCACAUUUAUAUGUUGGAGGAUGAACGAUUUUGCACGGAUGUUGAGGAACAGAUUGAUAGCAAAUAUAGUUUAUAUAACAUGACUAAAACAUUGGUAUUAAAUUUGUUCAUUUCCCGAGUUUGCAAAUCACACUGAUUGUUUCACACUUUGUUCUUGUAUGAUGUAAUGUCAGACUCGGAAUAUAUGUGUAAGAUGUUGUAGUUCUGUUUUGCACUGGAAAGAAAGAUAACAGAUGUAUUACUGUUAGGCCUGUUAUACCAACACUAACUUGUUUCGAUUGUUAAGCUGCUCAAGUGGUCAUUUCUUGGCUUAUCUUAUCAUUUUUACGAUUGUACACUAAAUGAUUUACGUUCAUUGAGGAAAAAUGAUGUGAAGUGCAUUCCAAAAUAUGAUAAGAGUUAAUGAAAAAA